rnacentral:rRNA from 1 species
GACGUAGGAGGCAAGCGUUAUCCGGAGUUACUGGGCGUAAAGCGCAUGUAGGCGGUUGGACAAGUGGCGUGUGAAUGCGCCCGGCUAAACUGGGCGAGGCCAGGUCAGACUGUUCAACUCGAGUCCGAUAGAGGGGCGUAGAAUUCCGGGUGUAGCGGUGAAAUGUGUAGAGAUCCGGAGGAAUACCAGUGGCGCAAGCGGCGCCCUGGGUCGGGACUGACGCUGAGAUGCGAAAGCGUGGGGAGCGAACGGG